AUGAACGCUAGCUACAGGCUUAACACAUGCAAGUCGAGGGGCAGCAUGGUCUUAGCUUGCUAAGGCCGAUGGCGACCGGCGCACGGGUGAGUAACACGUAUCCAACCUGCCGUCUACUCUUGGACAGCCUUCUGAAAGGAAGAUUAAUACAAGAUGGCAUCAUGAGUCCGCAUGUUCACAUGAUUAAAGGUAUUCCGGUAGACGAUGGGGAUGCGUUCCAUUAGAUAGUAGGCGGGGUAAUGGCCCACCUAGUCUUCGAUGGAUAGGGGUUCUGAGAGGAAGGUCCCCCACAUUGGAACUGAGACACGGUCCAAACUCCUACGGGAGGCAGCAGUGAGGAAUAUUGGUCAAUGGGCGAGAGCCUGAACCAGCCAAGUAGCGUGAAGGAUGACUGCCCUAUGGGUUGUAAACUUCUUUUAUAAAGGAAUAAAGUCGGGUAUGCAUACCCGUUUGCAUGUACUUUAUGAAUAAGGAUCGGCUAACUCCGUGCCAGCAGCCGCGGUAAUACGGAGGAUCCGAGCGUUAUCCGGAUUUAUUGGGUUUAAAGGGAGCGUAGAUGGAUGUUUAAGUCAGUUGUGAAAGUUUGCGGCUCAACCGUAAAAUUGCAGUUGAUACUGGAUAUCUUGAGUGCAGUUGAGGCAGGCGGAAUUCGUGGUGUAGCGGUGAAAUGCUUAGAUAUCACGAAGAACUCCGAUUGCGAAGGCAGCCUGCUAAGCUGCAACUGACAUUGAGGCUCGAAAGUGUGGGUAUCAAACAGGAUUAGAUACCCUGGUAGUCCACACGGUAAACGAUGAAUACUCGCUGUUUGCGAUAUACUGCAAGCGGCCAAGCGAAAGCGUUAAGUAUUCCACCUGGGGAGUACGCCGGCAACGGUGAAACUCAAAGGAAUUGACGGGGGCCCGCACAAGCGGAGGAACAUGUGGUUUAAUUCGAUGAUACGCGAGGAACCUUACCCGGGCUUAAAUUGCAGAUGAAUUACGGUGAAAGCCGUAGGCCGCAAGGCAUCUGUGAAGGUGCUGCAUGGUUGUCGUCAGCUCGUGCCGUGAGGUGUCGGCUUAAGUGCCAUAACGAGCGCAACCCUUGUUGUCAGUUACUAACAGGUUCCGCUGAGGACUCUGACAAGACUGCCAUCGUAAGAUGUGAGGAAGGUGGGGAUGACGUCAAAUCAGCACGGCCCUUACGUCCGGGGCUACACACGUGUUACAAUGGGGGGUACAGAGGGCCGCUACCACGCGAGUGGAUGCCAAUCCCAAAAACCUCUCUCAGUUCGGACUGGAGUCUGCAACCCGACUCCACGAAGCUGGAUUCGCUAGUAAUCGCGCAUCAGCCACGGCGCGGUGAAUACGUUCCCGGGCCUUGUACACACCGCCCGUCAAGCCAUGGGAGCCGGGGGUACCUGAAGUGCGUAACCGCGAGGAGCGCCCUAGGGUAAAACUGGUGACUGGGGCU
rnacentral:rRNA from 1 species